GGUCAAGCUGCAAAGU
rnacentral:rRNA from 1 species